GACGAACGCUGGCGGCAUGCCUAACACAUGCAAGUCGAACGAUCCCUUCGGGGUUAGUGGCGCACGGGUGCGUAACGCGUGGGAACCUGCCCUUAGGUUCGGAAUAACUCAGAGAAAUUUGAGCUAAUACCGGAUAAUGUCUUCGGACCAAAGAUUUAUCGCCGUUGGAUGGGCCCGCGUUGGAUUAGCUAGUUGGUGGGGUAAAGGCCUACCAAGGCGACGAUCCAUAGCUGGUCUGAGAGGAUGAUCAGCCACACUGGGACUGAGGCACGGCCCAGACGCCUACGGGAGGCAGCAGUGGGGAAUAUUGGACAAUGGGCGAAAGCCUGAUCCAGCAAUGCCGCGUGAGUGAUGAAGGCCUUAGGGUUGUAAAGCUCUUUUACCCGGGAUGAUAAUGACAGUACCGGGAGAAUAAGCCCCGGCUAACUCCGUG
rnacentral:rRNA from 1 species